rnacentral:rRNA from 1 species
UACAGAGGUCUCAAGCGUUGUUCGGAUUCAUUGGGCGUAAAGGGUGCGUAGGCGGCGCGGUAAGUCGGGUGUGAAAUCUCGGGGCUUAACUCCGAAACUGCAUUCGAUACUGCCGUGCUUGAGGACUGGAGAGGAGACUGGAAUUUACGGUGUAGCGGUGAAAUUCGUAGAUAUCAAGCGGAACACCGGUGGCGAAGGCGGCCUUCUGGACAGUGACUGACGCUGAGAAUGCGAAAGCGUGGGGAGCAAACAGG